UUAAACGGCCGCGGUAUCCUAACCGUGCAAAGGUAGCGUAAUCACUUGUCUUUUAAAUAAGGACUAGAAUGAAUGGCCAAACGAGGUUCUACCUGUCUCUUACAGAUAAUCAGUGAAAUUGAUCUUCCCGUGCAAAAGCAGGAAUAACAUUAUAAGACGAGAAGACCCUGUGGAACUUCAAAUACACGUUAAACUAUUUUCGGUUGGGGCGACCUCGGAGUAAAAUAAAACCUCCGAAAAARAAUCACCUAGACUCACCACCCAAAGAAACGAUCCAAUAUAAUUGAUCAACGAACCAAGCUACCCCAGGGAUAACAGCGCAAUCCCAUCCUAGAGUUCCUAUCGACGAURGAGUUUACGACCUCGAUGUUGGAUCAGGACAUCCUGAUGGUGCAGCCGCUAUCAAGGGUUCGUUUGUUCAACGAUUAAAGUCCUAC
rnacentral:rRNA from 1 species